rnacentral:rRNA from 1 species
GUGCGGAACACGUAAGUAACCUACCUUCGGGUGUGGAAUAACAGGAAGAAAUUUCUGCUAAUACCGCAUGACAUAACGGGGCGGCAUCGUCUUGUUAUUAAAGGAUUUAUUCGCCUGAAGAUGGGCUUGCGUCUGAUUAGCUAGUUGGCGGGGUAACUGCCCACCAAGGCUACGAUCAGUAGCUGGUCUUAGAGGAUGAUCAGCCACACUGGCACUGAGACACGGGCCAGACUCCUACGGGAGGCAGCAGUAGGGAAUAUUGGGCAAUGGGCGCAAGCCUGACCCAGCCAUGCCGCGUGAGGGAAGAAGGUUCAUAGAAUUGUAAACCUCUUUUAUCUGGGGAUAAAAACCGUAUAACUUACGGGAUUGAAGGUACCAGAGGAAUAAGGACCGGCUAACUACGUGCCAGCAGCCGCGGUAAUACGUAGGGUCCGAGCGUUGUCCGGAUUUACUGGGUUUAAAGGGUGCGUAGGCGGUUGCGUAAGUCAGUGAUGAAAUGGGUAUGCUCAACGUACUCGCUGUUACUGAUACUGCGCGACUAGAGAAUAGAUAAUGUAGCUGGAAUGAGUGGUGUAGCGGUGAAAUGCGUAGAGAUCACUCAGAACACCAAUUGCGAAGGCAGGUUACAGGACUACUUCUGACGCUGAGGCACGAAAGCGUGGGGAUCAAACAGGAUUAGAUACCCUGGUAGUCCACGCCCUAAACGAUGGAUACUAGAUAUGCGGCCUUGUGUUGCGUGUCCAAGCGAAAGCGAUAAGUAUCCCACCUGGGGAGUACGCUCGCAAGGGUGAAACUCAAAGGAAUUGACGGGGGCCCGCACAAGCGGAGGAGCAUGUGGUUUAAUUCGAUGGUACGCGAGGAACCUUACCUAGGCUAAAUCUGAGUGAAGUAUGCAGAAAUGUGUGCGUCCGCAAGGACACAAAAGAAGGUGCUGCAUGGCUGUCGUCAGCUCGUGCCGUGAGGUGUUGGGUUAAGUCCCGCAACGAGCGCAACCCCUGUGAUUAGUUACCAGCGUGAAAGACGGGGACUCUAAUCAGACUGCCUUCGUAAGGAGAGAGGAAGGGGGGGACGACGUCAAGUCAUCAUGGCCCUUACGCCUAGGGCUACACACGUGCUACAAUGGUCGGUACAGAGGGCAGCAAGCUGGUGACAGCAAGCAAAUCUCUUAAAGCCGACCUCAGUUCGGAUAGGAGUCUGCAACUCGACUCCUUGAAGUUGGAUUCGCUAGUAAUCGCAUAUCAGCCACGAUGCGGUGAAUACGUUCCCGGGCCUUGUACACACCGCCCGUCAAGCCAUGGAAGUUAGGGGUGCCUGACAUCGGGGGAUAAGCUCCCUGCUUAGGGCAAAACUGGUAGCUAGGGCUAAGUCGUAACAAGGUA